AAAAAAUUGAUGUCGCGUAAUUCAUUUCCACUCUCGCGCACACCUUCAUCGAACACUGCUCCGCCGUCGCCGCUUCGAGAAGGGUUAAUUUGGCUUGGAGGACAUCAUAGCACCAUUCAUGGUAUGGUUUGCAUGCCAUUUCUCGGGCGCCAGGUGAACAUUAUAUCUACCACUAGGUUUUGUAUAGAGGGGAGCAUUGGUGGAGCUCUAUAGAGAACUUGGAUUGCUCAAAACCUACAGCAUCUAGAAGAGCACUCCCAGGCUGCGCCCCACCAUCCGGUUGAGAAAUUCGGCUCUCUUACCACUUGUCAGUUUUCCUCCUAGGAUCGACGAUGAUCAGUAACCUUUGAUCCGAGCAGUAGCCUUUGCAAUAAGCAUCACUUGGUUCGCCGUCCCUCAUUGCUUCCUCAGUGAUCUGCACUUGACGAGCUUGGUAGUUUGUAGUUGUCUUUAUGCACACGCCUUAAGAUUGUAUUCCGAUUUGAUACCAAAGUUAUCUAUAAGCUAUUAUUUAUUGGAUUUGCGGAUGGUAUGUUAUGAGAUUGUUAGUUGGUUGUUAUGUUGUACGAUAUGGUGGUAUUUUGGGAUGCUUUAAAGCACCGUUGAUGCCUAAUAUUCUAUUUUGAGCAUUACUAUAAAUGUCGUUGGAUUGAUGUCGUUUUGUAGGUAUGGACAAGGAUUCUGGAUUAGUUAUGAUAA